rnacentral:sRNA from 1 species
CCUCGGGCUUACACCCGAGGCUAAGUGCUGUCGCCCCUCCGGGGCA